rnacentral:rRNA from 1 species
GGCUUGUUGAUUAUGAUUUCAAGUCUGACCUGCCCAAUGAGUAGUUAAAUGGCCGCGGUAUUUUAACCGUGCAAAGGUAGCAUAGUCACUAGUUUUUUAAUUGAAAGCUUGAAUGAAAGGUUUGAUGAAAAAAGUUCUGUCUCUGUAAGAAUUUAUUAGAAUUUUAUUUUUAGGUUAAAAAGCUUAAAUAAAUAUAGAAGACGAGAAGACCCUAUAGAGUUUAAUAUUUUCUUGAUUGGUUAAACUUAGGGUUCAGAUGUUUGUACUGAUUAGUAAAGUAUUUAAUUGGGGUGAUUAAAAAAUUAGAAAAACUUUUUUUUAAAUUAGACAUUAAUUUAUGAAUGUUUGGUCCUAAAAAUUUAUUUAGAUUAUAAGAUUAAAUUACCUUAGGGAUAACAGCGUAAUUUUUUCUAGAGUUCUUAUCGAAGAAAAAGUUUGCGACCUCGAUGUUGGAUUAAAAUUAAUUAUCGGUGAAGAAGCUGAUAAAUUAGGUCUGUUCGACCUUUAAAAUUUUACAUGAUCUGAGUUUAAACCGGCGUGAG